UCGUUGUCUUUGUGCUCACAUCGUCGAUUAGAAGGGAGCUCGAAGAGUUAGGUGUGACACUUCCAAAGGAUGCAUUCGAACUGAUUUUUGUUUUCCUCCAAGAGUGAAUCUUGGCAAAUAGACAUUCUACACAUAGGAAGCUGCAAUACAUAUCAAAGUUAGAGAGAAGUGUAACUUCAUUUCAGGAUAAUAUUGAGGAUGAUAAUGAAGAUUAAGCUGAUUAUUAUUGUGGUUUAUUGGCUAACAUAGAGUAGUGUUAGGAAUGGAUACAUGUAUGGUUGACUAAUGACUUUUAUUAGAAGAUACUUAUGUAGGAUAUAAUAUUUUAGUUUUUCAUAGAGUAUUAGUAGUAAAUUCUAAGUGUAUCAUGAUUAUUUUGGUAUGACUAUGCUUACUUUAGUAUGAGAUAUAUGAAUAUUCAAAAUUAACUUCAUUCUAGUAUUUUUGGAUCAUUAUUAUAAAUAUAUUUUGGUUA